AACGAACGCUGGCGGCAUGCCUAACACAUGCAAGUCGAACGAGACCUUCGGGUCUAGUGGCGCACGGGUGCGUAACGCGUGGGAACCUGCCCUUAGGUUCGGAAUAACUCCCCGAAAGGGGUGCUAAUACCGGAUAAUGUCUUCGGACCAAAGAUUUAUCGCCUUUGGAUGGGCCCGCGUUGGAUUAGCUAGUUGGUAGGGUAAAAGCCUACCAAGGCGACGAUCCAUAGCUGGUCUGAGAGGAUGAUCAGCCACACUGGGACUGAGACACGGCCCAGAAUCCUACGGGAGGCAGCAGUGGGGAAUAUUGGACAAGGGGCGAAAGCCUGAUCCAGCAAUGCCGCGUGAGUGAUGAAGGCCGUAGGGUUGUAAAGCUCUUUUACCCGGGAUGAUAAUGACAGUACCGGGAGAAUAAGCACCGGCUAACUCCGUG
rnacentral:rRNA from 1 species